rnacentral:lncRNA from 1 species
CCCCCCCCGCCCCCUGCGACCCCACCCCCCUACCCCGUGCCUCUCUAAAGCAUCCAGAACUGACUCAGCUGCAUCAGACUGUGCCCUGUGUCCUGUUGGCAUGUCCCCAUGCUUCGUCCCUGGAGUGAACUACAACCUGGGACUUCCAGAGGCGGCUAUGGUUAGGCAGGGAGCAGCCAGUGUUCUGGAGUAGACCCAGACAUAAACCUAAUUCUUGAUUUGAGAACAGUGGCUCCUCUGAACUGGCUUGAUAAUGUGUUACCAGCCGGGGCGAGUCAGCCAUAGAGGGGCCUGGCAAUCCUUCUGCCCUGCAGAUUCUUUGACUCCUUCUUUUCUUUCUGUUGCUUUUGUUUGCCUAGUUGAGACAGGACCUCACUAUGAAGCCCAGGCUAGGCUUGAGUGAGAUCCCUCUGCCUCAGCCCUGCAGGGUGCUGGAUCCGGGAAUGUGCAGGCUCCUUACUGUUUGGAAGGAGGAAUUCUGCAGGGCUCAGAGCCGCAGGUGUUCCAUCCACCCUUCAGCUGCACUUCCUGUGGAUGAGACCCAGAGAAAUGGGAAGAUCAACUGGGCAGCAAGUGACAAUCACCUACUGAAUGUAAGAAAUGGAGCCCUGGAGGGGCUUUGUCCUGUUGCUGAAGAGAGGCAACCUGGAUUCAUGGGACUCCAGGAUGGGGGAUGGGCAGUUUCAGUGUCGGUGGAAGAGAGGUUGGUUUCUCUGUGAUAGAAAUGCAUGGCUCCAGCAGUGGCUGCUGUCCUGUCCUGCUUGGCUCAGGGGGGCUGCACUGCUGCAGUAGGCAUGGGACAGA